rnacentral:rRNA from 2 species
GACGAACGCUGGCGGCGUGCCUAAUACAUGCAAGUCGAGCGAACUCUGGUUUUUGAUUUUUGGUGCUUGCACCAAAAUGAUAAAACAUUUGAGUGAGCGGCGGAUGGGUGAGUAACACGUGGGUAACCUGCCCUAAAGUGGGGGAUAACAUUUGGAAACAAGUGCUAAUACCGCAUAACAACAUUUACCACAUGGUUUAUGUUUAAAAGAUGGUUUUGCUAUCACUUUAGGAUGGACCCGCGGCGUAUUAGUUAGUUGGUGAGGUAAUGGCUCACCAAGACCGUGAUACGUAGCCGACCUGAGAGGGUAAUCGGCCACAUUGGGACUGAGACACGGCCCAAACUCCUACGGGAGGCAGCAGUAGGGAAUCUUCCACAAUGGACGAAAGUCUGAUGGAGCAACGCCGCGUGAGUGAAGAAGGUUUUCGGAUCGUAAAACUCUGUUGUUGAAGAAGAACAUGCGUGAGAGUAACUGUUCACGUAUUGACGGUAUUCAACCAGAAAGCCACGGCUAACUACGUGCCAGCAGCCGCGGUAAUACGUAGGUGGCAAGCGUUGUCCGGAUUUAUUGGGCGUAGAGCGAGCGUAGGCGGUUUAUUAAGUCUGAUGUGAAAGCCCUCGGCUCAACCGAGGAAGUGCAUCGGAAACUGGUAAACUUGAGUGCAGAAGAGGAGAGUGGAACUCCAUGUGUAGCGGUGGAAUGCGUAGAUAUAUGGAAGAACACCAGUGGCGAAGGCGGCUCUCUGGUCUGUAACUGACGCUGAGGUUCGAAAGCGUGGGUAGCAAACAGGAUUAGAUACCCUGGUAGUCCACGCCGUAAACGAUGAGUGCUAAGUGUUGGAGGGUUUCCGCCCUUCAGUGCUGCAGCUAACGCAUUAAGCACUCCGCCUGGGGAGUACGACCGCAAGGUUGAAACUCAAAGGAAUUGACGGGGGCCCGCACAAGCGGUGGAGCAUGUGGUUUAAUUCGAAGCAACGCGAAGAACCUUACCAGGUCUUGACAUACCAUGAAAAGCUAAGAGAUUAGUCUUUCCCUUCGGGGACAUGGAUACAGGUGGUGCAUGGUUGUCGUCAGCUCGUGUCGUGAGAUGUUGGGUUAAGUCCCGCAACGAGCGCAACCCUUAUUACUAGUUGCCAGCAUUCAGUUGGGCACUCUAGUGAGACUGCCGGUGACAAACCGGAGGAAGGUGGGGACGACGUCAAAUCAUCAUGCCCCUUAUGACCUGGGCUACACACGUGCUACAAUGGUCGGUACAACGUGCUGCGAACUCGCGAGGGUAAGCAAAUCACUUAAAACCGAUCUCAGUUCGGAUUGUAGGCUGCAACUCGCCUACAUGAAGCUGGAAUCGCUAGUAAUCGCGGAUCAGCAUGCCGCGGUGAAUACGUUCCCGGGCCUUGUACACACCGCCCGUCACACCAUGAGAGUUUGUAACACCCAAAGCCGGUGGGGUAACCUUUUAUUAGGAGCUAACCGUCUAAGGUGGGACAAAUGAUUAGGGUGAAG